rnacentral:tRNA from 1 species
GCAUCUUUAGCUCAGUGGUAGAGCAGCCGACUGCAGAUCGGCAGGUCUCCGGAUCAAACCCGGAAAGGUGCU